CACGUAGUCAUAUGCUUGUCUCAAAGAUUAAGCCAUGCAUGUGUAAGUUCACACCCUCGUACGGUGAAACCGCGAAUGGCUCAUUAAAUCAGUCGAGGUUCCUUAGAUGAUCCAUUUCUACUUGGAUAACUUUGGUAAUUCUAGAGCUAAUACAUGCCCAACAGCUCCGACCCCGGGCUUCGCGGUUCGGGGAAAGAGCGCUUUUAUUAGUUCAAAACCAGUCGGGGGUUUCGGCCCUCGUGCUUUGGUGACUCUGGAUAACUUUGAGCCGAUCGCAUGGCCUCGAGCCGGCGACGCAUCUUUCAAAUGUCUGCCCUAUCAAAUGACGACGGUACGUGAUCUGCCUACCGUGUUGACUACGGGUAGCGGGGAAUCAGGGUUCGAUUCCGGAGAGGGAGCAUGAGA
rnacentral:rRNA from 1 species